UUAUAAACGACUCUCGGCAACGGAUAUCUCGGCUCACGCAUCGAUGAAGAACGUAGCAAAAUGCGAUACUUGGUGUGAAUUGCAGAAUCCCGUGAACCAUCGAGUUUUUGAACGCAAGUUGCGCCCGAAGCCUUUUGGCCGAGGGCACGUCUGCCUGGGCGUCACGC
rnacentral:rRNA from 5 species